UACAGAGGGUGCGAGCGUUAAUCGGAAUUACUGGGCGUAAAGCGUGUGUAGGCGGCCAUAUAAGUCGGAUGUGAAAGCCCUGGGCUCAACCCAGGAAGUGCACUCGAUACUGUAUGGCUUGAGUACUGGAGAGGUUGGUGGAAUUCUCGGUGUAGAGGUGAAAUUCGUAGAUAUCGAGAGGAACACCGGUGGCGAAGGCGGCCAACUGGACAGAUACUGACGCUGAGGCGCGAAAGCUAGGGUAGCAAACGGG
rnacentral:rRNA from 1 species